rnacentral:rRNA from 1 species
CAAAGAGCGCAGGGCGAAUGCCUUGGCACUGGGAGCCGAAGAAAGACGCGAUAAGCUGCGAUAAGCCACGGGGAGCCGCAAAUAGGCGUUGAGCCGUGGAUUUCUGAAUGGAGAAAUCCGGCCGGAGUAAAGUCCGGUCAUCAUACGCUGAAUUCAUAGGCGUAUGAGGGGAACCGCCUGAACUGAAACAUCUAAGUAGGGCGAGGAAAAGAAAUCAACCGAGAUUCCGUAAGUAGUGGCGAGCGAACGCGGAAGAGGCCAAACCGAGGAUAGCAAUAUCUUCGGGGUUGCGGACUGCAUUUAGUAUUGCCGAAGUCUAGGAGAACCCCAUGGGAAGGGGGACCGAAGAGGGUGAGAGUCCCGUAUCCGAAAGGCGGAAGCAGCGAGCAGUAUCCAGAGUACCGCGGGACACGAGGAAUCCCGUGGGAAGCCGGGGGGACCACCCUCCAAGCCUAAACACUACCCAGUGACCGAUAGCGCAUAGUACUGUGAAGGAAAGGUGAAAAGGACCCCGGAAGGGGAGUGAAAUAGAACCUGAAACCCUGUGCUUACAAGCACCGAGAGCCCGUCAACGGGUAAUCGGGUACUUUUUGUAGAACGGUCCGGCGAGUAUAUUUAACUGGCAAGGUUAAGGGCCUCAGGUCUGAAGCCGAAGCGAGAGCGAGUCUGAAUAGGGCGUAUAGUCAGUUGGAUAUGACCCGAAACCGGGUGACCUAUCCAUGAUCAGGUUGAAGUGGGCGUAAAAGCCCAUGGAGGACCGAACCGACCUCCGUUGAAAUGGCGGCGGAUGAAUUGUGGAUAGCGGAGAAAUUCCAAUCGAACCCGGAUAUAGCUGGUUCUCCCCGAAAUAGCUUUAGGGCUAGCGUUGUAUUAGAUUACCGGAGGUAAAGCACUGAAUAGGCUAGGGGCCGAGAGGCUACCGACCCUUAUCAAACUCUGAAUGCCGGAUAAUUGAUGUACAGCAGUCAGACAGUGUGAGAUAAGUUUCAUUGUCAAAAGGGAAACAGCCCAGACCCACAGCUAAGGUCCCAAAUGUACGUUAAGUGGAGAAGGAUGUGGAAUUGCACAGACAACCAGGAUGUUGGCUUAGAAGCAGCCACACAUUCAAAGAGUGCGUAACAGCUCACUGGUCGAGUGAUUCCGCGCCGAAAAUUUAACGGGGCUAAACGUACAACCGAAGCUUGGGCUGCAUCGAAAGAUGCGGGGUAGGGGAGCGUCGUGUAACGGGGUGAAGCAUGAGCGUAAGCGCGUGUGGACUUUACACGAGUGAGAAUGCCGGAAUGAGUAGCGCGAUUUAUGUGAGAAUCAUAAAGGCCGAAAGCCUAAGGUUUCUGGAGGAAGGUUCGUCCGCUCCAGGUUAGCCGGGAGCUAAGGUGAGGCGGAAACGCGUAGCCGAUGCACAUACGGUGGAGAUUCCGUAGCUGUCGAAGGAUUUAAGCAGGGGGACACUGAAGAAGGCUUCAACCCAGGCGUUGGUAGACCUGGGCGAAAGGGACCGAAAAUAGAGUAGGGAAGUGAAGUUGGAAUCAGGCGAGAAAAGCCCUGUGAAUAUCUGAGACACCCGUACCGCAAACCGACACAGGUAGGUAGGAAGAGGAUUCUAAGGCCAACGGGAGAAGGGUUGUUAAGGAACUCGGCAAGUUGACCCCGUAACUUCGGAAUAAGGGGUGCUCAACGGAAGUUGAGCCGCAGAGAAUAGGUCCAGGCAACUGUUUAGCAAAAACACAGCUCUAUGCUAAAUCGCAAGAUGAUGUAUAUGGGGUGACGCCUGCCCGGUGCUGGAAGGUUAAGAGGAGGAGUGAGAGCUUCGAAUCGAAGCCCCAGUAAACGGCGGCCGUAACUAUAACGGUCCUAAGGUAGCGAAAUUCCUUGUCAGGUAAGUUCUGACCCGCACGAAUGGCGUAAUGAUCUGGACACUGUCUCAACAGCCCACCCGGCGAAAUUGUAGUACCGGUGAAGAUGCCGGUUACCCGCGACAAGACGGAAAGACCCCAUGGAGCUUUACUGCAGCCUAAUAUUGGAUUUCGGUAUCUCAUGUACAGAAUAGGUGGGAGGCUGGGAAACAGGGGCGUCAGCUUCUGCGGAGCCACCGUUGGGAUACCACUCUUGAGGUACUGGAAUUCUAACCUGCGGCCAUGAAUCUGGUCGGGGGACAUUGUUAGGCGGGCAGUUUGACUGGGGCGGUCGCCUCCAAAAGAGUAACGGAGGCGCUCAAAGGUUCGUUCAGCACGGACGGAAAUCGUGCAUUGAGUGUAAACGCAUAAACGAGCCUAACUGCGAGACCGACGGGUCGAGCAGUAACGAAAGUUGGAGUUAGUGAUCCGGUGGUAUGUGAGUGGAAAUGCCAUCGCUCAACGGAUAAAAGCUACCCUGGGGAUAACAGGCUGAUCUCCCCCAAGAGUUCACAUCGACGGGGAGGUUUGGCACCUCGAUGUCGGCUCAUCGCAUCCUGGGGCUGAAGUAGGUCCCAAGGGUUGGGCUGUUCGCCCAUUAAAGCGGUACGCGAGCUGGGUUCAGAACGUCGUGAGACAGUUCGGUCCCUAUCUGUCGUGGGCGCAGGAUAUUUGAGUGGAGCUGUCCCUAGUACGAGAGGACCGGGAUGGACGCACCACUGGUGCACCAGUUGUCGUGCCAACGGCACAGCUGGGCAGCUAAGUGCGGAUCGGAUAAACGCUGAAGGCAUCUAAGCGUGAAACCGGCCACAAGAUAAGAUAUCCCACUAGGUUAACUAGGUAAGACCCCUUGAAGACUACAAGGUAGAUAGGCACGAAGUGAAAGCGUUGUGAGGCGUUUAGCUAGCGUGUACUAAUCGGUCGAGGGCUUGACCA